GACGAACGCUGGCGGUGUGCUUAACACAUGCAAGUGGAGCGACGAACCAGGGCUUGCCCUGGGGCAGUGCUGCGAACGGGUGAGUAACACGUGGGUAACGUACCCCGCUUACCGGGACAACUCGAGGAAACUCGGGGUAGUACCGGACGUGCUCUCCUUCCAUCAGGGUGGCGCGUAAAGGAAGCUCCGGCUUCCGAAUACGGAGCGGCCCGUGCUCUAUUCGUUAGUUGGUGGGGUAACGGCCUACCAAGACUGCGAUCGGUAGCUGGUCUGAGAGGACGAUCAGCCACACUGGAACUGAGACACGGCCCAGACUCCUACGGGAGGCAGCAGUGGGGAAUCUUGCGCAAUGCGCGACAGCGUGACGCAGCAACACCGCGUGGGGGAAGAAGGCCUUCGGGUUGUAAACCCCUUUCAGGAGGGACGAAGGCCGGCCGGUGAAUAGCCGUGCCGGUUGACGGUACCUCCACAAGAAGCCCCGGCUAACUACGUG
rnacentral:rRNA from 1 species